GACGAACGCUGGCGGCGUGCCUAAUACAUGCAAGUCGAACGCAUUUUCUUUCACCGUAGCUUGCUACACCGAAAGAAAAUGAGUGGCGAACGGGUGAGUAACACGUGGGUAACCUGCCCAUCAGCGGGGGAUAACACUUGGAAACAGGUGCUAAUACCGCAUAAUUCCAUUUACCGCAUGGUAGAUGGAUGAAAGGCGCUUUUGCGUCACUGAUGGAUGGACCCGCGGUGCAUUAGCUAGUUGGUGGGGUAACGGCCUACCAAGGCUGCGAUGCAUAGCCGACCUGAGAGGGUGAUCGGCCACACUGGGACUGAGGCACGGCCCAGACUCCUACGGGAGGCAGCAGUAGGGAAUCUUCGGCAAUGGACGCAAGUCUGACCGAGCAACGCCGCGUGAGUGAAGAAGGUUUUCGGAUCGUAAAACUCUGUUGUUAGAGAAGAACAAGGAUGAGAGUGGAAAGUUCAUCCCUUGACGGUAUCUAACCAGAAAGCCACGGCUAACUACGUG
rnacentral:rRNA from 1 species